CAAUGUCAAAGGUAUAGAGAUAGUAAUUUGAGACAAUAAAAACACACCGCUUGUAAUUGCUCUAUUUUUCUUUUUUCCUUCCAAGGGUGACACUGGGUUAACUGGACCCCCUGGACCACCAGGAACUGUUAUUGUGACAUUAAGUGGACCAGAUAACAUGACGGACUUGAAAGGAGACAAAGGAGAAAAAGGAUCAAGAGGGCUUCCAGGACCAAGGGGGUUUACAGGGCCAGUUGGUGAUUCUCAAAGUGAAAAGGGUGACAGAGGAG
rnacentral:lncRNA from 1 species